rnacentral:rRNA from 1 species
AUGGGAUGCUGCGGCAGCAACCCUGUAGAUGAGGAGGAACACCUAGACUACAGCUCUGGGAAUGUGACUCUUAUAACCGAUCUAAAGAGCUGGGAGAAGAAAGUGGAAGAUGCAACUGACGCCAAUAAAACACUUGUUGUAAAAUUCAGCGCAGUAUGGUGUGGCCCGUGUAGGAUCGCUGCUCCUACGUACGCCGAACUCUCUUUGAAGCAUUCCGAUCUUGUUUUCGUGUCUGUGGACGUAGACGAACUACCGGAACUGGUCACGGAAUUCGAGGUACGUGCCACGCCGACAUUCAUCUUCUUGAGAGAUAAGAAGGAGAUCGACAAGAUGGUGGGGGGGAACCAGGCCGAUCUUCAGCAGAAGUUCGAACCAUACUGCCGGCCAGGUGACGAAGUUAUGAGUAAACAGUCUUUCGAGGACAAAACCUGA